AAUUUGUAGUAUAAUUUAUAUACGUGAUGCCGUUUUUGGUGGUUAAUAAAAAAAGUAUUUAUUUUUCAACAAUUGAUAUUGUAACACUUCUAUUUAUAUUACGCUUUUUUACACAUUUUAAGUUGAAUUUAAAUAAGAUACGAAGAAUUUUUUAUUUUAAAUAGUUACUGAAUGAAUUUCUUAUGAAUUAGUUUCUUAUCUAGAAAACAAAAGUGUGUUAAUUACUAUUUUAUAUAAAUAAAUAACAAAUGAAUUUUACCAUUUAUAAUGAAAUUAUUUUUAUUAGCUACAAUGACCAACAGGGUAAAGAGGACAAGCUCUUUAGAUGACUAUUUUGUCAAAAGAAGUAAAAUUCUACCAAUGCAGGACCAUGCUGGUCCUAUCGUUUUGCCUUUAUCUUCCGGGUCAUCUUCUGAACAAUUAAAUUAAACAUUUAUUGGCGGCGCUGAAAAUAAUCAAAUUACAAUGAAACUCAAUCCUUUUUCCCCAGAACUUGGUAUGGUAGCUGGUAAUUUCACAAAUAAAACUAACGCAGACAUUAAUAAAGAAGAUUCGAUACCCGCGACAAAAGAUAAUAGCUGUUUGCCUAUAGACAUUGGGGUAUUUUUAACACGUCGAGUAACUGAAAAAGAUAAAUACCGAAUAUUGAAAUGCAAUUGGUUUCCUGGUCCAAAUUACAAAUAUCCAUACUCUGUGCAUCUAAAGAAGGGUAAGAAUGUUAAUUGCUUUUUAUCCGAGAAACAUAUACAGAAGUUUCCAUGGAUAAUGAUUUCAGACUGCAUUUAUGGAAUUUUUUGUAAGUUUUCUUUUUGCAAAAGUUGGGGGAAUACAUAUUCAAGUGCAAUUACUCAAGCUAGUUACUUUACCUCUUAAAAGUUAUUCAAAGCCUUUGGUUAGGGAUGGAGACUUACAAUUACAUGAUUGCAAUGCGUAUCAUAAAGUUGUUAUGUUGGCAGCAUCAGAUUCAUCAGAAUAUAUGAAUGUCCGUCUACAGAUGUUUGUAAUUUAGUUAACGAAGGAAGAUUUAAACAGGCUAAAGAAAAUAGAGAACAAUUAAAGCCUAUAAUUGAAUCUAUAAUAUUUCUCGGUCGACAGAAUAUUGCUCUGCGAGGUUAUCACGAUGAUGGGCAGAUCUUUGAAAUAAAUCAAAACUCUUCAUUAAUUAAUGAUGGCAAUCUUCGGGUAUUGCUUCGCUUUCGAGUGAGCGCUAUUUCGAGGAUAUUAUUUUCAAAAACUAUUUGAAUAACUAUAUUUCUAAAGCAACAUGCAUUAGUAAAAGUAUUCAAAAUGAAAUAAUUGAACUAUGCGCUCAACAAAUUCAGCGCUUAAUUAAAACAAGAAUUUUUAAAGGAAAAUUUUAUAGCGUUAUAUUAGAUGAAACAACGGAUACCAGUCAUAGUUCUCAAAUGACAGUCGUAUUAAGAUAUAUUAAUGUUAAUACCUGUGAAAUUCGUGAAGAUUUCAUUGAUUUUGUAAACUGCCAUACGGAAAAUUAUUCUAAUUUUACUUAUGAACCUGUACUAACAGGAGAAUUGCUAGCAAACACAGUUGCAAACACAUUGACAAAAUUUGGCUUAAAUUUAAAAGAUUGUGUUGGUAUAGGUACUGAUGGAUGCAGCCUUAUGUUAGGUGAAAACAACGGAGCAGUCACGAAAUUACAGAAGAUCCUACCAAACGCAAUAAAAAGCCCAUGCUACAUCCAUGCUUUAAACUUAUCAGUUUCUAAAUGUUCGUCUGUGCGAGCUGUAGGAAAUACAAUUGGCACAAUGAAAGAAGUAAUAUCAUUUUUUUAAAGUUCGCCGAAGCGAAGUAACGUUCUUAAAUAUAUAAAUAAGGAAAUGCUUACAAGCUUAUGCGAAACAAGAUGGAUUGAACGGCAUGAUUCUGUGUUAAGUUUCAAAUAUUAUUUAAUAAAUAUAGUAGAAACACUUGAUUUGAUAUCUCAGUGAAAUGAACGGGAUUCUUCAACAAAGGUUACACUACUAAAAAUGCAAUAUCUGAGCCUUUAUUUGUAAUAACACUUUGUUCAUUAGCUAAUGUGUUAAAUACCACAGUCUUUUUAAGUAAAGCUCUUCAAAAAAAAUAUUGGAUAAGGAAUAUGCAAAAACUAUUCUUAAACAUACCAUAAAGAUAUUAAAUAAAAGACGACAGAAAGAAGAAAACUUUAACUCUAUAUUUAUAACUGCAUCAAAGUUACUAAAAGACUUAGGUUUAAAAAUCAAGAUUCCACGAAUUACAGGAAAACAAAUUAAUCGCGCAAACCUUAAUACCAAUAAUCCUCUAACAUACUAUAGAGUCAAUUUUUAUUUACCGCUACUUGAUAGCAUACUUUUAGAUUUACAAUAAAAAUUUAAACUCUUUUAAAUUAAAUGUUGCAAUACCUAGAAAUUUAUUAAAUAAAACAAAGAUAGAGUUAACAGCAUCCAUAACUAAUAUACUGAGUUUUAUGAAAGGGCUGCCCAAUAUAAAUACGGUUGAUGAGAAUGUCCAAUUAAAGUAAGUUUCUUCAGAAUUUGAAUUUUGGGAACUAAAGUGGACAGACGCAAUCAAAAAGCAACAAGACCUACCUGAAUGUGCACUGGACGCAUACAAGCAAUGUGAUGGUAAUGUCUUUUCUUUAAUUAAAUGUAUUUUGCAACUGCUUUUCACCCUACCUGUUAGCGUUGCUUCGGGAGAACGGAGUUUCUCGGUUUUAAAAAGACUCAAAACUUGUAAUUUUCUCGCUCGAAACAAAAGUUUUCUUUUUCUUUUCUUUCCAAAAAUUGGUAUUGUGGUUUAUCCUCCUCCAGCUAAUUACCAUAUAGAGGCCACAUUACCAAGGCCCGCAAAGACAGGUUCGGCUCCCCAAGGAGCGUCAUAAACCACUCUAUGGACCAAGAGUAAAGUGAGUUUAGGAAGAACGAAGAUAUGUUAGAGUGAAAGACAGAAGUAGUCGUGUUAGAAAGAUAGCAUAGAGAAAGCGAAAUUCAACUCAUCUUACAAAACUUUUACAUCCAUUUAUAUAAUAUAUCUACCCACAAAAUCAACAUUACAAAAAAAGCUUAAUACAUAACUACAAUUAAAAUAAUUAAAAACUAUCAGUAAAAGAAGCCACGUAAUUUCCGUAGAAUGUUCUAGAACUUUCUCCACUUUAUUUGCAUUGGUUAUGAUCCAAUAUAGGACAAGAACGAUUAAAUGGCUUAGCAUGCAUAUCCAUAGAGAUUGCAUCAUAAAUGUUGAAGAAAUUAUUGAUAGUUUUGCAUCUUCGAAAACUAGAAAGCUCAAUUUGAUAUUGUUGCUUGUUAAACUUUGUUAAAAAGUCUUUAUUAAAAAAAAAUAUAUAAAUACUAUAGA